GGCAUUUAGAGCAGCUGGCGAGGAGGAAGGUCCAAGAAAAAUGACCAGGUUUAUAAAGAAUCUUGGUAGGUUAGAAGAUUUUACCUAUGGAACUGUAGUUAAAAAUAUAGAAAAAAUACAGAAAUGUUUAAAAUAGUGACUUGGGCAUUGUAAAUUUUAAUAAAUUAAUUAAUCCACAGCUCAUCCUUAACCCAUUCAUAUAUUAAUAGGUUUAUUGAAUCAUUAUUUAUUUAUAAUAUUCAUUUAAAAUAUCCAUUUAUCACUUGCUUUCAUCUCUUACGUACAUAUUUUCAUUUGCUAUUGUAAUUGGCAAAAUGACAACGAACAAUAUCUCAACAUUAACCCUAUCUCAACAUUCUAAAUUAAGGAAAAGCAAAUGAGCUGUAUGCUAGACUGUUAAGUAUUAACUAUGGCUCUCUGUACAAAGGGCUUUCUACCCAAUGCGUACAAAAAGCAAGAACCACCCUUUUUUUUUUUCAAUUUUUUUUUUGAGAUUAAUUGUGA
rnacentral:misc_RNA from 1 species